rnacentral:tRNA from 4 species
GGCUUCGUAGUUCAACUGGAUAGAAUAUCGGAUUUCGGCUCCGAGGGUUGGGGGUUCGAACCCCUCCGAAGUCACAA